AUUGAACGCUGGCGGCAGGCCUAACACAUGCAAGUCGAGCGGAUGAAGGGAGCUUGCUCCUGGAUUCAGCGGCGGACGGGUGAGUAAUGCCUAGGAAUCUGCCUGGUAGUGGGGGAUAACGUCCGGAAACGGGCGCUAAUACCGCAUACGUCCUGAGGGAGAAAGUGGGGGAUCUUCGGACCUCACGCUAUCAGAUGAGCCUAGGUCGGAUUAGCUAGUUGGUGGGGUAAAGGCCUACCAAGGCGACGAUCCGUAACUGGUCUGAGAGGAUGAUCAGUCACACGGGAACUGAGACACGGUCCAGACGCCUAAGGGAGGCAGCAGUGGGGAAUGUUAGACAAUGGGCGAAAGCAUGAUACAGCCGUGCCGCGUGUGUGGAGAAGGUCUUCGGAUUGUAAAGCACUUUAAGUUGGGAGGAAGGGCAGUAAGUUAAUACCUUGCUGUUUUGACGUUACCAACAGAAUAAGCACCGGCUAACUUCGUG
rnacentral:rRNA from 1 species